rnacentral:lncRNA from 1 species
GGACCCUUCUACACUAUGUCAGGACCCUUCUCCACUAUGUCAGGACCCUUUUACACUAUGUCAGGAUCAUUCUACAAUUAGGAAAUCUUCUACACUAUGUCAGGACCCUUCUCCACUAUGUCAGGACCCUUUUACACUAUGUCAGGACCCUUCUACAAUGUAGGAAAUCUUCUACACUAUGUCAGGACCCUUCUCCACUAUGUCAGGACCCUUUUACACUAUGUCAGGAUCAUUCUACAAUGUAGGAAAUCUUCUACACUAUGUCAGGACCCUUCUCCACUAUGUCAGGACCCUUUUACACUAUGUCAGGAUCAUUCUACAAUUAGGAAAUCUUCUACACUAUGUCAGGACCCUUCUCCACUAUGUCAGUACCCUUCUCCACUAUGUCAGGACCCUUCUAAUCUAUGUCAGGACCCUUCUACACUAUGUCAGGACCCUUCUACACUUUAGGAAAUCUUCUACACUAGAAGAGAAAGAGAAAGAGGAAACAGAGAGGAGGAAAGAGAGAGAGAACGAGAGGAGGAGAGAGAGAGAGAGCGAGAGAGAGAGAAAGAGAGAAAGAAACUGAGAGAGGAGGAGAGAGAGAGAGAGAGAGAGAGAGAGAGAGAGAGGUGAGGCAAUGAAGGAUAGAGUAGUCAGAGGAAGAGAGUGCCAGAACUCAGUGAGUGCAGCUAAAUCUCUCAGAGCUCAGUCAAUAAAACAGAGGGCUCUUAGAAAACAAACCCUUCUACACUGUCAUAACCCUUUUCCACUAUGUCAAGACCCUUCUCCACUAUGUCAGGACACUUCUACACUAUGUCAGGACCCUUCUGCACUAUGUCAGGACCCUUCUACACUAUGUCAGAACCCUUCUACACUAUGUCAGGACCCUUCUACACUAUGUCAGGCUGGUUUGGCACAGUGAUGUCGAAAGCAUCUACUGUAAGUUAUUCAUCCUGACAGUGAGUUUAGCUCAGAGCUCAGCAGAGGUUAUGUCCCCUGUGUCACUAUGGUAUGGUCUUAAGGUUUUUUCCUGUGGGUUCAUUUCCUGUUCCUGUUGCCGUCCGAUAUGACCAUUCAGAGCCAUACAGCUGCACCGAUACGUACUAUAGCUUUGUGUGGCAUUUUCCUAUUCCAAGUCAAAUAAUUAGCCUGAAGAGAAACAAUGUGUUAUUUAUAAACAAAAUGGCUGGAUUGGGAUUGAAAAAGUACGGAGAUAUCUAGGUGAAAAACACAAACUGGACCUCACUGUCUACUGGAACUAGAAUACUGUUUUCUUCUCUGGUUUUCAG